rnacentral:ncRNA from 2 species
GGUCAAGAGCGCCAGCGUCAAGCCCCGGCUCGCUGGCCGGCAACCCUCCUCUCGCGGCGGGGUGCCCCGGGUGACGACCUGGCCCCGCGCCGUCCGGCGUGCGGGCAAGCGCGGGGA